UGGGAUUGCCUUAGUAACGGCGAGUGAAGCGGCAAUAGCUCAAAUUUGAAAGCUGGCCCCUUUGGGGUCCGCGUUGUAAUUUGUAGAGGAUGAUUCGGCGAGGGCUCCCGUCUAAGUCCCCUGGAACGGGGCGUCAUAGAGGGUGAGAAUCCCGUAUGUGAUGGGUUGCCUUAGCCAUGUGAAUCUCCUUCGACGAGUCGAGUUGUUUGGGAAUGCAGCUCUAAAUGGGAGGUAAAUUUCUUCUAAAGCUAAAUACCGGCCAGAGACCGAUAGCGCACAAGUAGAGUGAUCGAAAGAUGAAAAGCACUUUGGAAAGAGAGUUAAAAAGUACGUGAAAUUGUUGAAAGGGAAGCGCUUGCAGCCAGACUUGUCCGCAGUUGCUCAGCCGGUCUCCUGACCGGCGUACUCUUCUGCGGCCAGGCCAGCAUCAGUUCGGGCGGUCGGAUAAAGACCCUAGGAAUGUAGCUCCUCUCGGGGAGUGUUAUAGCCUGGGGUGGAAUGCGGCCAGCCUGGACUGAGGAUCUCGCUUCGGCUAGGAUGCUGGCGUAAUGGCUGUAAGCGGCCCGUCUUGAAACACGGACCAAGGAGUCUAACAUCUAUGCGAGUGUUUGGGUGUCAAACCCAUACGCGUAAUGAAAGUGAACGGAGGUGGGAACCCUCACGGGUGCACCAUCGACCGAUCCUGAUGUCUUCGGAUGGAUUUGAGUAAGAGCAUAGCUGUUGGGACCCGAAAGAUGGUGAACUAUGCCUGAAUAGGGUGAAGCCAGAGGAAACUCUGGUGGAGGCUCGCAGCGGUUCUGACGUGCAAAUCGAUCGUCAAAUUUGGGUAUAGGGGCGAAAGACUAAUCGAACCAUCUAG
rnacentral:rRNA from 2 species